GCCGCUAGCUCAGUUGGUUAGAGCAGCUGACUCUUAAUCAGCGGGUCCGGGGUUCGAGUCCCUGGCGGCGCACC
rnacentral:tRNA from 1 species